rnacentral:rRNA from 1 species
AACGUACGCUGGCGGCACGCCUAACACAUGCAAGUCGAACGAAGUAGCAAUACUUAGUGGCAGACGGGUGAGUAACAUGUAGGUAUCUGCCCUUUGGCCUGGAAUAACACGAGGAAACUUGUGCUAAUACCGGAUAAGUCUUUACGGAGAAAGCUUUAUGCACCAUUGGAUGAGCCUGCACUUGAUUAGUUUGUUGGUGGGGUAAUGGCCUACCAAGACUGUGAUCAAUAGCUGAUUUGAGAGGAUGAUCAGCCACAUUGGGACUGAGACACGGCCCAAACUCCUACGGGAGGCAGCAGUGGGGAAUCUUGCACAAUGGAGGAAACUCUGAUGCAGCGAUGCCGCGUGAGUGAAGAAGGCCCUUGGGUUGUAAAGCUCUUUCGUCGGGGAAGAAAAUGACUGUACCCGAAUAAGAAGGUCCGGCUAACUUCGUGCCAGCAGCCGCGGUAAUACGAAGGGACCUAGCGUAGUUCGGAAUUACUGGGCUUAAAGAGUUCGUAGGUGGUUGAAAAAGUUAGUGGUGAAAUCCCAGAGCUUAACUCUGGAACUGCCAUUAAAACUUUUCAGCUAGAGUAUGAUAGAGGAAAGCAGAAUUUCUAGUGUAGAGGUGAAAUUCGUAGAUAUUAGAAAGAAUACCAAUUGCGAAGGCAGCUUUCUGGAUCAUUACUGACACUGAGGAACGAAAGCAUGGGUAGCGAAGAGGAUUAGAUACCCUCGUAGUCCAUGCCGUAAACGAUGUGUGUUAGACGUUGGAAAUUUAUUUUCAGUGUCGCAGGGAAACCGAUAAACACACCGCCUGGGGAGUACGACCGCAAGGUUAAAACUCAAAUGAAUUGACGGGGGCCCGCACAAGCGGUGGAGCAUGUGGUUUAAUUCGAAGCAACGCGCAGAACCUUACCAACCCUUGACAUCCUGAUCGCGGUUACCAGAGAUGGUUUCCUUCAGUUAGGCUGGAUCAGUGACAGGUGUUGCAUGGCUGUCGUCAGCUCGUGUCGUGAGAUGUUGGGUUAAGUCCCGCAACGAGCGCAACCCUCGCCUUUAGUUGCCAGCAUUUAGUUGGGCACUCUAGAGGGACUGCCGGUGAUAAGCCGGAGGAAGGUGGGGAUGACGUCAAGUCCUCAUGGCCCUUAUGGGUUGGGCUACACACGUGCUACAAUGGCGGCGGCAGAGGGCAGCGACCCCGCGAGGGUGAGCUAAUCUCCAAAAGCCGUCUCAGUUCGGAUUGUUCUCUGC